GAGCUCUGUGCACAGGUGGUAAGGGAAGACAUGAAGGGUUGUAUGCAGAUUUGGGCAGGGCACAAAGAUGAAAGCUGAGGUACUCCACACUCUCAUGGGCCAUAGUCUUAUGGAUUUCUUCUAGGAUUCUCUUGCCUGGUGGAGGCCCAAACCUCAUCAUGCAAGGCAGGCCAAGACUCAGGAAGGGAAAACAAGAAGAUGAACGUGUAAGCAGGAGGAGCCAUUGGCCUCAUGGGAAAAGAAGGGGAAGAAUACAAAGAUGGAACCAAGAGCCUCAAAAAUCAUAGGCAAGCACUCCACCCGUCCUGCUUUCUAUGCUGCUGUUGAAAAUAGGAGAACAGUGCUCUAAGUCUCCACUGUGACCCUGGCCACUCGCAGCA
rnacentral:lncRNA from 1 species